rnacentral:rRNA from 1 species
UGAGCAAUCUGCCCUUCUCAUCGGAAUAAGCGUUGGAAACGACGUCUAAUGCCGAAUACGACCUCCUUUCGCAUGAUCGGAGGUGGAAAGCUCCGGCGGUGAAGGAUGAGCUCGCGGCCUAUCAGCUUGUUGGUGAGGUAAUAGCUCACCAAGGCGAUGACGGGUAGCCGGCCUGAGAGGGUGACCGGCCACACUGGGACUGAGACACGGCCCAGACCUCGUACGGGAGG